GCUGGGUGUGGUGGCAUGCACCUGUAAUCCCAGCUACUCAGGAGGCUGAGGCAGGAGAAUUGCUUGAACCCAGGGAAUGGAGUUUGCAGUGAGCCAAGAUGGCGCCACUGCACUCCAGCCUGGGCAACAGAGCAAGACUCUGUCUCCA
rnacentral:sRNA from 1 species